rnacentral:rRNA from 1 species
GAUGAACGCUGGCGGCGUGCCUAAUACAUGCGAGUCGAGCGAACGGACGAGAAGCUUGCUUUUCUGAUGUUAGCGGCGGACGGGUGAGUAACACGUGGAUAACCUACCUAUAAGACUGGGAUAACUUCGGGAAACCGGAGCUAAUACCGGAUAAUAUUUUGAACCGCAUGGCUCAAAAGUGAAAGACGGUCUUGCUGUCACUUAUAGAUGGAUCCGCGCUGCAUUAGCUAGUUGGUAAGGUAACGGCUUACCAAGGCAACGAUGCAUAGCCGACCUGAGAGGGUGAUCGGCCACACUGGAACUGAGACACGGUCCAGACUCCUACGGGAGGCAGCAGUAGGGAAUCUUCCGCAAUGGGCGAAAGCCUGACGGAGCAACGCCGCGUGAGUGAUGAAGGUCUUCGGAUCGUAAAACUCUGUUAUUAGGGAAGAACAUAUGUGUAAGUAACUGUGCACAUCUUGACGGUACCUAAUCAGAAAGCCACGGCUAACUACGUG